rnacentral:sRNA from 1 species
UUGUCAUCUCUGAGGCUCACUGCCUCAGUGGGCUAACCAAGGCCUAGUCCUGGAAGCUUCUAGCCUCCAUAUAAUGUAACCUAGGCCUAGAGUGUUUUUCAGCCUCUGAGACCGGCUACUGAGUGUGUGGGCACACAUGUGGGGAUGCACUGCACGUGUGCAAAAGCUGACAUUACCUGUCUUCCUUGAUCACUCGGCACCCCAAACACUGAGCCUGCUGAGAUUACGCAUGGCCUCCACUGCCACCCAGCAUUACAUGGGUGCCAGAGAUCCGAACUCCAGCAUCGAGCUUGUGUGGCAGGCACUUCACCCACAGAGCCAUCUUCCACCCAGGGCUGAGCAUCCAGGGUUGGAGUGCAGCUAUAACUCAUGCCUAGAGACACAGAGGCAGCUUGGAAGUAGAGAUGAUCAAAGCCAGAAAAUCCUCCAGGGCCCUGCAGGACCCUAAGAGAAUCCAGUGGGAGCAAGGGAACGCAGGAGCUGUAGAAAAGGCUCCACCUUCUCACCCGGCCCCAGGUGACCUCAAACAGACACCACGGACACGGAGGUAAGCGCCAGGCUGAGGAGGCCGGAAGCAAAGACUGAGCUGGGAUGGGAGCCGGGCACAGUGCUCUAACCAGAUAGAUGCCUCAGAGAGCAGACGUGGUGUUACACAGCUCUAAUCCCAGCAUCCAGGAAGCUGAGACAGAGGACUGGGUGUUCCAGAGCCUGGACUACAUGGUGAAAUCCUGUCUCCAAAGGAGAUGUUGCGGGCACACCACAGGGAGCCUCUAGUAGGGUAAUACCCGGUGAGCCUUUGGCUGGUAACCCAGGAGCACCGUGGACAUUGGUGAGGUACAAGGUGGAUGUGUCUGUCCUGUGCCUAAUCUACAACUAUAUUCUGGAACACAGCAGUGCCUGGAUUUUAUAGUUUCAAGGGUGGAGAGCACAUGCCUCUGGGAUGGACCCUGAGUCUCACACACAUCUAAUACAGCUGACUUUGAACCUCAGAUGUCUGACAUGACAUCAGAACUGUUAAGACAUUGGGGUGAUUGGCUGGCAUGAUUGUGUCAGAACAGAAGAUAUAAAUUUAGAGAGUCCAGGGGCUAUGUGCUCCAGGCUGGAGAGCCAUGUCCUGCCAAAAUCUGAAUGUUAAAAUCCUGUUAGAAUCCAGACCAGACUACGACACAGGCCACAAUGCCUGCAGCAGCUCCCCAGCUUCAGGUACUAGCAGGCACCCUACUGAGACCACUGCUUGACUCCUUAACAGACUUGCAGGUGCCUGGAUUUCCUACCUGGGGAAGUGAGUUUGCAGGCUGAGACACAUGUGCCCCUUCCCUGCCACCUUCUGGGAGUUGGAGAACCUGCUCAGUCCUGCUGUGAGGCUUUCCUUCCUCAGAGACUUCUAAGAAGAGACCAUACUGUCUAUGGUGCUAGGUCCAGAGCCCUUCAGAGUAUCUGUCUGUCUGUCUGUCCGUGGUGUUACUAACUCCCUGUGGAGAGGGGAGAAAUCCUCGACUAAAUGUUUAAGGAGUGAAUAAAGUAGUGGGUGUGUCUUA